UUACUGCGAAGGGGGGACGGAGAAGGCUAUGUUGGCCGGGCGACGGUUGUCCCGGUUUAAGCGUGUAGGCUGGUUUUCCAGGCAAAUCCGGAAAAUCAAGGCUGAGGCGUGAUGACGAGGCACUACGGUGCUGAAGCAACAAAUGCCCUGCUUCCAGGAAAAGCCUCUAAGCAUCAGGUAACAUCAAAUCGUACCCCAAACCGACACAGGUGGUCAGGUAGAGAAUACCAAGGCGCUUGAGAGAACUCGGGUGAAGGAACUAGGCAAAAUGGUGCCGUAACUUCGGGAGAAGGCACGCUGAUAUGUAGGUGAAGUCCCUCGCGGAUGGAGCUGAAAUCAGUCGAAGAUACCAGCUGGCUGCAACUGUUUAUUAAAAACACAGCACUGUGCAAACACGAAAGUGGACGUAUACGGUGUGACGCCUGCCCGGUGCCGGAAGGUUAAUUGAUGGGGUCAGCGCAAGCGAAGCUCUUGAUCGAAGCCCCGGUAAACGGCGGCCGUAACUAUAACGGUCCUAAGGUAGCGAAAUUCCUUGUCGGGUAAGUUCCGACCUGCACGAAUGGCGUAAUGAUGGCCAGGCUGUCUCCACCCGAGACUCAGUGAAAUUGAACUCGCUGUGAAGAUGCAGUGUACCCGCGGCAAGACGGAAAGACCCCGUGAACCUUUACUAUAGCUUGACACUGAACAUUGAGCCUUGAUGUGUAGGAUAGGUGGGAGGCUUUGAAGUGUGGACGCCAGUCUGCAUGGAGUCGACCUUGAAAUACCACCCUUUAAUGUUUGAUGUUCUAACGUGGACCCGUGAUCCGGGUUGCGGACAGUGUCUGGUGGGUAGUUUGACUGGGGCGGUCUCCUCCUAAAGAGUAACGGAGGAGCACGAAGGUUGGCUAAUCCUGGUCGGACAUCAGGAGGUUAGUGCAAUGGCAUAAGCCAGCUUGACUGCGAGCGUGACGGCGCGAGCAGGUGCGAAAGCAGGUCAUAGUGAUCCGGUGGUUCUGAAUGGAAGGGCCAUCGCUCAACGGAUAAAAGGUACUCCGGGGAUAACAGGCUGAUACCGCCCAAGAGUUCAUAUCGACGGCGGUGUUUGGCACCUCGAUGUCGGCUCAUCACAUCCUGGGGCUGAAGUAGGUCCCAAGGGUAUGGCUGUUCGCCAUUUAAAGUGGUACGCGAGCUGGGUUUAGAACGUCGUGAGACAGUUCGGUCCCUAUCUGCCGUGGGCGAUGGAGAACUGAGGGGGGCUGCUCCUAGUACGAGAGGACCGGAGUGGACGCAUCACUGGUGUUCGGGUUGUCAUGCCAAUGGCACUGCCCGGUAGCUAAAUGCGGAAGAGAUAAGUGCUGAAAGCAUCUAAGCACGAAACUUGCCCCGAGAUGAGUUCUCCCUGACCCUUUAAGGGUCCUGAAGGAACGUUGAAGACGACGACGUUGAUAGGCCGGGUGUGUAAGCGCAGCGAUGCGUUGAGCUAACCGGUACUAAUGAACCGUGAGGCUUAACCUU
rnacentral:rRNA from 1 species